rfam:Stereum hirsutum FP-91666 SS1 unplaced genomic scaffold STEHIscaffold_7, whole genome shotgun sequence.
GCCGGUUUAGCGUAGUGGUUAUCGCAUCCCACUUGUAUCGUUCGUCUCACUUCGCCGUCCACGCGAUUUGAACUAGCGGAUGAUUACGUAAUGGGAAGGUCACUAGUUCAAAUCUGGUAAUCGGCA